ensembl:lncRNA CFLAR-AS1 CFLAR antisense RNA 1
CCAACGACCAAAGCAAAGGACAGCAGAACUGACUGACACAGCUCAGAAAAUAUCCAAAGCUCUGUAUGCUCUGGAAAGGAAGACAAGAAAUGCUAAAGACUCUGGAUAUUGCUCUGUUUCUAUAAGGUCCCACCCAUAUACCAUCUCUUCUUUUGGAUUUCCUUUGGCAGGUGAGUCACUCAACAGACACAGCCUGAAGUUUCCCAUUACGGCAAAUGUUUCCCAUUAAUAUCAAAUUUUUCCUCUAUUAGGGUAAUGUGCUUAAGACAAAUUAUUUUCAUUUUUAUUUAAUUUUAAUGAAAAUCCCACUCUCUUUAUUGGCUUUGUGGAAUAAAGAUAAUUUGAAAAAGAGAGAAAA